GAGUGGGGCGCGGGAGUGACGUCAUGUAAAGGCGACUGUUUACUUCGCUGUCACUCGUGUUGUGUUAAAAUAAGCGGAACCAGCGUGUCCAAAAGAAAGAUAUUUUGUCUUGUCAUAUAGUUACUUUAGACGUCCUACACAUCGUACGCUACGCAGGUUUUACCGAGAAGUGAGUGGAGAGUCGCAUCUGACAGCAUUUGUUUAGCACGUAGCACUACAACUGACGCCGUCACGCUAAUGUUGUUAGAAAGCCCUUAAUUUUAUAUGUUGGUGUCUUGUGCUCCACUGAUAUUGUUUAGCUUUAGGCGAUGUUUUGUUCCAUUGUGUUCGGCAGUCAGCUAAAGCACUGCAGUAGUGCGUUAGCUUAAAGUAGUGCGUUAGCUUAAAGAGCACAGUUUACCAGCGCAUGUUGCCACUGAUUGAAACAAAUCCACCCAAAGGGGGCCAACCCGGCGUGUUCUUUGACUGGAACUUGACUGCUCCAAACCAGUACAUCCUUGGAGACAUCACACCACGCUGAGAACCUUUCUGUUUAAGGUGAAAUCAUGGCGGACGACCCUCAGAGAAACUUUCGCUCCGCUUAUUAUGAGAAAGUUGGCUUUCGAGGGGUGGAGGAGAAGAAAUCUUUAGAAAUACUACUCAAGGAUAAUCCUCUGGAUCUUGAAAAGCUGAGCACCUUCAGUCAGAGAUUUCCCCUCCCAUCCAUGUAUAGGGUUCAUGUCUGGAAGGUCUUGUUAGGAAUCUUGCCGCCCCACAGCGACUCUCAUACUCUGGUUGGAAGCUACAGAAAGGAGCAGUAUGAGGACAUCCUGAAGGCUCUGGAGGUGAUGAGAUACAUCAACUCCUCCACAUCUUCCACCCUUGUGUACCUGCGUAUGUUCCAGCUGGAGAGCCAGGUGCUCCCGCGCUGUUCUGAAACCUUACCACCGGAUGAGGAAAACAAGGAUUUCCUGUGGAUCAGUCGAGCAAUGGAGGAGAUUGUAGAGGACCCAUGUGACUGCUACUGGCUCAUAAAAUGUUUUAUCAGUCAGUUCCAUACCAAGUUUGGAGACUCAGUUCCACAUCUUCCAAAGAGCCUGGAGCACUACUUGAGUCAGGAGGAGCCUCAGCUGCUCAGCCAUUUGAAGAGCAGUGGUGCCUUGGCACAACUUCCAUACAGCCUGUGGUUCAAGCGAUGCUUUGCUGGCUGCUUGCCUGAGUCAAGCUUGCAGCGAGUGUGGGACAAGGUGAUCAGUGGCUCCUGUAAGAUCCUGGUGUUUGUAGCCCUGGAAAUACUACUCAGCUAUAAAAUUAUUCUGCUGGGAAUCAGCCGACCAGAGGGCGUGGCCAAGUUUCUGUGUGAUAUGCCGCAGGAGAACACGGAUGCAAUUGUGACUAAAGCAAUUGAUCUAUGGCACAAAUAUUGUGGCACCCCAAUGCAUGCCAUGUAACCUGUGAGGAAUUCCGAUUAUUGCCUUCCCAUGAUGCAACAGCAAUUCACUUGACUCUGAUAAGAAGCUCCCAACUGGACAGUUCAUGACUGCACAAAAACUGUUGGAUAAAAUGAGGAAUCAUUUUAACGGACUUGAACAUUGGGAGCGACUUCAGAAGAAGACAUGUCUCAUAGAGCGCAUCCAAAGUCACCUACGUUUCAGGAUGUUCCUCUGUUCCAGUUCCUCUGCAGUUGGACGUUGACUCAGUCGUCUGAAAAAAGUACAUUUGUAUUUGAGGUCCAAGGAAGUUGUUGUUGUUUUCAUGGAUAACCUAACUGACGAAGAGCACUGAAUAAGGCAAUGAGGCAAUGUGAUUGGAUCACCUUAACCCAGCGGUUCUCAAUUACUUUCUGUAAAACCGACGUAAGCAUGUGGAGAACAUGCAAACUCCACGCUGAGGUGCCCAAGCGGAGAUUCUAACUUGUUGAUAGUGUCCCCACCUGGUGAGUUUGGUUGCGGUUUGCUGCCUGGACUCAAAUCUCUCCUGAUCUGACUGCAGUGGUAGAAUGUUCUUCUCCUCCAGCUCUCUCUUUGAUGGACGGUUACUCAGUUUGAUGGCCAGAGAGUCUUUUCGUAACACCUUCAGGGCCAGUGUGCCUACAUUGAAAAUAUUGUUAAUUAGAAAUGAAGGCCAUAUGCUAUUGUGAAAUAUAAUGAAUAUUGUAUCCUAAGUCAUCUGUUAUUUGAUAUAUUAAUUUAGUGUUUAUUAGUCACUGUUUACAGACUUGUAUUACCUGUACUGCAGCAAGCCACUAAAGUUCAGAGUCUUGCAAAGGUCCAAUUUUACAACAACCUCAUCCAUUAAUAAUCAAUGGAUGUGGCUUGUGGGCCACAAGUUGACGUAGACUUUUCAACACAAUUACCUUGCACCGUUUUAGAGGUACAAACUUGGUGACUUGUUUAAUUAAA